rnacentral:rRNA from 1 species
UGGAUAUAUAUAUAAUCUAUAUAUGGGAUGGGAUGGGCGAAAGCCUGAUCCAGCCAUGCCGCGUGUGUGAAGAAGGUCUUCGGAUUGUACAGCACUUUAAGUUGGGAGGAAGGGCAUUAACCUAAUACGUUAGUGUUUUGACGUUACCGACAGAAUAAGCACCGGCUAACUCUGUGCCAGCAGCCGCGGUAAUACGACC